AAAAACAGCCUUUUCUCCAAAAGGGGAGAAAGUUGAAACUGAGUGGUCCACGAUGGGAAGAGGGGAAGCCCAGGGGUACAGGAGGCCUCUGGGUGAAGGCAGAGGCUAACAUGGGGUUCGGAGCGACCUUGGCCGUUGGCCUGACCAUCUUUGUGCUGUCUGUCAUCACUGUCAUCAUCUGCUUCACCUGCUCCUGCUGCUGCCUGUACAUGACGUGCCGCCAACCACGUCCGGUUUUCACCACCACCACAUCCACCACUGUGGUGCAUGCCCCUUAUCCUCAGCCUCCAAAUGUGCCGCCCAGCUACCCUGGACCAAGCUACCAGGGGUACCACACCAUGCCACCUCAGCCAGGGAUGCCAGCAGCACCCUACCCAACGCAGUAACCACCUUACCUGGCCCAGCCCAUGGGCCCGCCGGCCUACCACAAGACCCCGGCUGGAGGAGCAGCCGCACCCUACCCCGCCAGCCAGCCUCCUUACAACCCGGCCUACAUGGAUGCCCUGAAGAUGGUCCUCUGAGCGUCCCCCGACCUCUCUGGCUGCCACUUGGUUAUGUUGUGUGUGUGUGAGUGGUGUGCAGGCACGGUUCCUUGCGGCCCAUGCGUGCUGUGUGUGUCCUGCCUGUAUAUGUGGCUUCCUCUGAUGCUGACGAGGUGGGGAACGAUCCUUGCCAGAGUGGGCUGGGACCAGACUUUGUUUUCUUCCUCACCUGAAAUUACGCUUCCUAAAAUCUCAAGCCAAACUCAAAGAAUGGGGUGGUGAGGGCACCCUGUGAGGUGGCCCCUGAGAGGUAGGGGGCUCUCCAAGGCACAUCUGGAGUUCUUCUCCAGCUUACCCUAGGGUGACCAAGUAUGGCCCGUCACACCAGAAUGGCGCAGCUUUCUGUAUGAUGCAGAUGUGUUCUGGUUUCUGCAGCGUAGCCAGCUGCUGCUCGACG